AAAAAAGUUGUGACGGAGACAAAAAUACCUAUCCACAUUACCCCAGAGAGCUAAUGUCAGGUGAAAAUUAGCGUGAUGUAAGGUAUAUAAUGAUCACUCCCGAGCUGCCAAGUCGAAAGCUGUGCAAGUAGACAAGGCCGGAUGCCACCGUUACAGGGCUAAGGUUAAGGCUGUUGCCCGACCGUAAAUCAAGAUGUGCUUAUUGCCAUGAACUAGGGUGGUACCACGAGGAUAAUAUACCUUCGUCCCUAUG
rnacentral:ncRNA from 1 species